AAGCUUUCGCGGUAUGGGAUGGGGUCGCGUCCUAUCAGCUUGACGGCGGGGUAACGGCCCACCGUGGCUUCGACGGGUAGCCGGCCUGAGAGGGCGACCGGCCACAUUGGGACUGAGAUACGGCCCAGACUCCUACGGGAGGCAGCAGUGGGGAAUAUUGCACAAUGGGCGCAAGCCUGAUGCAGCGACGCCGCGUGAGGGAUGGAGGCCUUCGGGUUGUAAACCUCUUUUAUCGGGGAGCAAGCGUGAGUGAGUUUACCCGUUGAAUAAGCACCGGCUAACUACGUGCCAGCAGCCGCGGUAAUACGUAGGGUGCAAGCGUUAUCCGGAAUUAUUGGGCGUAAAGGGCUCGUAGGCGGUUCGUCGCGUCCGGUGUGAAAGUCCAUCGCUUAACGGUGGAUCCGCGCCGGGUACGGGCGGGCUUGAGUGCGGUAGGGGAGACUGGAAUUCCCGGUGUAACGGUGG
rnacentral:rRNA from 1 species